UGAUUGAUGGUGCUUGCACCUGAUUGAUUUUGGUCGCCAACGAGUGGCGGACGGGUGAGUAACACGUAGGUAACCUGCCCAGAAGCGGGGGACAACAUUUGGAAACAGAUGCUAAUACCGCAUAACAACGUUGUUCGCAUGAACAACGCUUAAAAGAUGGCUUCUCGCUAUCACUUCUGGAUGGACCUGCGGUGCAUUAGCUUGUUGGUGGGGUAACGGCCUACCAAGGCGAUGAUGCAUAGCCGAGUUGAGAGACUGAUCGGCCACAAUGGGACUGAGACACGGCCCAUACUCCUACGGGAGGCAGCAGUAGGGAAUCUUCCACAAUGGGCGCAAGCCUGAUGGAGCAACACCGCGUGAGUGAAGAAGGGUUUCGGCUCGUAAAGCUCUGUUGUUAAAGAAGAACACGUAUGAGAGUAACUGUUCAUACGUUGACGGUAUUUAACCAGAAAGUCACGGCUAACUACGUGCCAGCAGCCGCGGUAAUACGUAGGUGGCAAGCGUUAUCCGGAUUUAUUGGGCGUAAAGAGAGUGCA
rnacentral:rRNA from 2 species